UGCGUAGGGUGCAAGCGUUAAUCGGAAUUACUGGGCGUAAAGCGUGCGCAGGCGGUUUGUUAAGACGGAUGUGAAAUCCCCGGGCUCAACCUGGGAACUGCGUUGGAGACUGCAAGGCUAGAAUCUGGCAGAGGGGGGUAGAAUUCCACGUGUAGCAGUGAAAUGCGUAGAGAUGUGGAGGAACACCGAUGGCGAAGGCAGCCCCCUGGGUCAAGAUUGACGCUCAUGCACGAAAGCGUGGGGAGCAAACAGG
rnacentral:rRNA from 1 species